rnacentral:rRNA from 1 species
GGGGAAUAUUGGACAAUGGGGGAAACCCUGAUCCAGCCAUGCCGCGUGAAUGAUGAAGGCCUUCGGGUUGUAAAGUUCUUUUGGCGGGGACGAUGAUGACGGUACCCGCAGAAUAAGCUCCGGCUAACUUCGUGCCAGCAGCCGCGGUGAUACGAAGGGAGCUAGCGUUGUUCGGAAUUACUGGGCGUAAAGGGUGCGUAGGCGGUAAGAUAAGUCAGGUGUGAAAGCCCUGGGCUCAACCCGGGAAUUGCGCUUGAUACUGUCUUGCUUGAAUUCGGGAGAGGUGAGUGGAAUUCCCAGUGUAGAGGUGAAAUUCGUAGAGAUUGGGAAGAACACCUGUGGCGAAGGCGGCUCACUGGACCGACAUUGACGCUGAGGCACGAAAGCGUGGGGAGCAAAC